rnacentral:rRNA from 1 species
GACGUAGGAGGCGAGCGUUGUCCGGAUUCACUGGGCGUAAAGCGCACGUAGGCGGGUCUUUAAGUCAGGGGUGAAAUCCUGGAGCUCAACUCCAGAACUGCCUUUGAUACUGAGGAUCUCGAGUCCGGGAGAGGUGAGUGGAACUCCGAGUGUAGAGGUGAAAUUCGUAGAUAUUCGGAAGAACACCAGUGGCGAAGGCGGCUCACUGGCCCGGUACUGACGCUGAGGUGCGAAAGCGUGGGGAGCAAACAGG